AGCAUCCAGCUCUGCAGGAUCAGGUACUGUAUAGGCUAUUAGCUAAAGUAAGGUGCAUUCUUGUACACACAUCCCUAGAGGUUCCCUUACAUUACUUAAUGACCACAAUCUGUUUUCUUUCUUAACGAUACGGCGAACUGGGAGCUGUGAACUGGGAAGCAGAUUUUCUUCUAAGCGACACCCUAGAGGUAGCAAGGUGAUGUGAACUCCAAACAUUUAAAGGCACUGUUCCCCUCCCUAUUGUAAUUGGGAUGGACGGGGAAGACCACAUUACAACCCUUAAAGAACUACAGUUGUAUAAUGGCCUGGAUGACGAGACAAAUGUUCUCCUCAAGGAACCAUUAAUGUUACAGAGAGAUUAUGAGAUGUUCUAUGUGGAGGCAGUUGACAACAAGAAAAUGACUCUCUGCCUCUUUAGAGGAGCAGGAGUGAAGUGGUGAAAUCUUAUUUUGUCUAUUGUGUUAAUUGUUUCAAUUGUUAAUUGUGUUAUGUUUAGUAAAGAUGACGUAGAAGUCA